rnacentral:rRNA from 1 species
UACGGAGGGUGCAAGCGUUGUCCGGAUUUAUUGGGUUUAAAGGGUGCGUAGGCGGUCUUUUAAGUCAGUGGUGAAAUCCCCAGGCUUAACCUGGGAACUGCAUCCGAUACUGGAUGGCUUGAAUCCGGGAGAGGGAUGCAGAAUUCCAGGUGUAGCGGUGAAAUGCGUAGAUAUCUGGAGGAAUACCGGUGGCGAAGGCGGCAUCCUGGACCGGCAUUGACGCUGAGUGAGCGAAAGCCAGGGGAGCAAACGGGG